rnacentral:tRNA from 1 species
GAGGGUAUAGCUCAGUGGUAAAACGUGUGCUUAGCAUGCAUGAGGUCCUGGCUUCAAUCCCCAGUACCCCUG